CACGUAGGCACCAAGCGUUGUCCGGAUUUAUUGGGCGUAAAGAGCUCGUAGGCGGUUCAGUAAGUCGGGUGUGAAAACUCUGGGCUCAACCCAGAGACGCCACCCGAUACUGCUGUGACUUGAGUACGGUAGGGGAGGUGGGGGAAUUCCGUGGUGUAGCGGUGAAAUGCGCAGAUAUCAGGAGGAACACCAGUGGCGAAGGCGCCCACUCUGGGCCGUAACUGACGCUGAGGAGCGAAAGCGUGGGUAGCAAACAGG
rnacentral:rRNA from 1 species